UUUCGUACACGUAAUGCUUUUUUAAUUUCUUUCCGUUUCCUUGGAUUUUAAUAUUCAAACAUAAAUAGUUGAUUAUUUUCGUUGGAAAGUACUUUAAAAAUGUUAUACUGCAAAUCUUUAACAGCGAAUUGCAAUUUGUUUGGCAUAAUCCAAACAGAUUUCUUGGGAAAACAUCCUCAUCCUGAAACUACAAUGCGUUGCCGUCGCCGCCGCCAUCGUCGUUGUCGUCGUCAGUCGUUAAUCAAAAUUAAAAUGCGUUAAACAAGCGGCAGCCAAAUGUUGCACAUUUCCAACAUGCCAGCCCGAAUUGCUGGGACCUGGUCAGGCGAACUACUCCCGGACUACUACCAUCUCACUCUUCUUAGUAGUAGAGCUGAUAGUGUGCAUUGUGCAAUCGACUUCCGUUUCCUUUUGCAGGGAAUGCCUUUCCUGCCACGGCCACUGCCUCUAGCUGGCUCAACGAUCUCUUCCCCAUUCCGUAAUAUGCAUUUUCCUCAAUGCUUGCAUGUUUGCACAAAUUUUCCAGACGGCGAAGGCGACGACGAGAACGGCGACGAUGAAGCGCGUUAUAAACAAAGUUUAUUACAAACGACGAAACAGAAUUUGAAUUUGGCUUUGGCAACACGUUCACACAUGCCAUUUUCUAACAAUCGUCUGGCAAUUUGUCACAAGCCAAAACUAUGCACUUCAAUAAGAUGCCAAAGGAUAAACAAGAAAUUGCUGUCAAAUUGCUAUACUUAGUGUUUGCCAUCAGAUAAAUUUUGGGAGUCAAAGACAAAUAGUUGGUAAUUAACGCAAACAAGGCAUACAUAUAUACAUAUAUAUAAUUGACUCAGAUUGAUCGUACUUCCAUGGAAGUUUCAUAAUGAAUAGUUAAAGUAAUUAAAUGCAUAUCUGAUAAUUAAAAUGGAAUCCACACUCUAAUAGGACAAGUGGAUGAAAAGUGUUUCUAGUAGUUAGACUUGUUAAAGCAAUAAAAUAUGAGAUAUGUGUCUAACCAAUUGCUUUAAUUAAACUGGAAUGUUGCUUUCCAACAAUAUA